GACGAACGCUGGCGGCGUGCUUAACACAUGCAAGUCGAACGUGAUUUUUAAGGAAAGCCCUUCGGGGUAGGAAUUAAAAUGAAAGUGGCGAACGGGUGGGUAACACGUGAGCAACCUACCUUACACAGGGGGAUAGCCGUUGGAAACGACGAUUAAUACCGCAUGAGACCACAGAAUCGCAUGAUAUAGGGGUCAAAGAUUUAUCGGUGUAAGAAGGGCUCGCGUCUGAUUAGCUAGUUGGAAGGGUAAAGGCCUACCAAGGCGACGAUCAGUAGCCGGUCUGAGAGGAUGAACGGCCACAUUGGAACUGAGACACGGUCCAAACUCCUACGGGAGGCAGCAGUGGGGAAUAUUGCACAAUGGGGGGAACCCUGAUGCAGCGACGCCGCGUGAGCGAAGAAGGUUUUCGAAUCGUAAAGCUCUGUCCUAUGAGAAGAUAA
rnacentral:rRNA from 1 species